rnacentral:rRNA from 1 species
CCUACGGGUGGCAGCAGUGAGGAAUAUUGGUCAAUGGGCGCUAGCCUGAACCAGCCAAGUAGCGUGAAGGAUGACUGCCCUACGGGUUGUAAACUUCUUUUAUAUAGGAAUAAAGUGAGGCACGUGUGCCUUUUUGUAUUUACUUUAUGAAUAAGGAUCGGCUAACUCCGUACCAGAAGCCGCGGUAAUACGGAGGAUCCGAGCGUUAUCCGGAUUUAUUGGGUUUAAAGGGAGCGUAGAUGGGUUGUUAAGUCAGUUGUGAAAGUUUGCGGCUCAACCGUAAAAUUGCAGUUGAUACUGGCAGCCUUGAGUACAGUAGAGGUAGGCGGAAUUCGUGGUGUAGCGGUGAAAUGCUUAGAUAUCACGAAGAACUCCGAUUGCGAAGGCAGCUUACUAAACUGCAACUGACAUUGAUGCUCGAAAGUGUGGGUAUCAAACAGGAUUAGAUACCCGGGUAGUC